rnacentral:rRNA from 1 species
AACGAACGCUGGCGGCAGGCCUAACACAUGCAAGUCGAACGGCAGCACGGACUUCGGUCUGGUGGCGAGUGGCGAACGGGUGAGUAAUACAUCGGAACGUGCCCAAUCGUGGGGGAUAACGUAGCGAAAGCUACGCUAAUACCGCAUACGAUCUAAGGAUGAAAGCGGGGGAUCGCAAGACCUCGCGCGAAUGGAGCGGCCGAUGGCAGAUUAGGUAGUUGGUAGGGUAAAGGCCUACCAAGCCGACGAUCUGUAGCUGGUCUGAGAGGAUGAUCAGCCACACUGGGACUGAGACACGGCCCAGACUCCUACGGGAGGCAGCAGUGGGGAAUUUUGGACAAUGGACGCAAGUCUGAUCCAGCCAUUCCGCGUGCAGGAUGAAGGCCCUCGGGUUGUAAACUGCUUUUGUACAGAACGAAAAGGCUCUGGUUAAUACCUGGGGCUCAUGACGGUACUGUAAGAAUAAGCACCGGCUAACUACGUGCCAGCAGCCGCCGUAA